rnacentral:rRNA from 1 species
AUGCAAGUCGAGCGAACAGACGAGGAGCUUGCUCCUCUGACGUUAGCGGCGGACGGGUGAGUAACACGUGGAUAACCUACCUAUAAGACUGGGAUAACUUCGGGAAACCGGAGCUAAUACCGGAUAAUAUAUUGAACCGCAUGGUUCAAUAGUGAAAGACGGUUUUGCUGUCACUUAUAGAUGGAUCCGCGCCGCAUUAGCUAGUUGGUAAGGUAACGGCUUACCAAGGCAACGAUGCGUAGCCGACCUGAGAGGGUGAUCGGCCACACUGGAACUGAGACACGGUCCAGACUCCUACGGGAGGCAGCAGUAGGGAAUCUUCCGCAAUGGGCGAAAGCCUGACGGAGCAACGCCGCGUGAGUGAUGAAGGUCUUCGGAUCGUAAAACUCUGUUAUUAGGGAAGAACAAAUGUGUAAGUAACUAUGCACGUCUUGACGGUACCUAAUCAGAAAGCCACGGCUAACUACGUGCCAGCAGCCGCGGUAAUACGUAGGUGGCAAGCGUUAUCCGGAAUUAUUGGGCGUAAAGCGCGCGUAGGCGGUUUUUUAAGUCUGAUGUGAAAGCCCACGGCUCAACCGUGGAGGGUCAUUGGAAACUGGAAAACUUGAGUGCAGAAGAGGAAAGUGGAAUUCCAUGUGUAGCGGUGAAAUGCGCAGAGAUAUGGAGGAACACCAGUGGCGAAGGCGACUUUCUGGUCUGUAACUGACGCUGAUGUGCGAAAGCGUGGGGAUCAAACAGGAUUAGAUACCCUGGUAGUCCACGCCGUAAACGAUGAGUGCUAAGUGUUAGGGGGUUUCCGCCCCUUAGUGCUGCAGCUAACGCAUUAAGCACUCCGCCUGGGGAGUACGACCGCAAGGUUGAAACUCAAAGGAAUUGACGGGGACUCGCACAAGCGGUGGAGCAUGUGGUUUAAUUCGAAGCAACGCGAAGAACCUUACCAAAUCUUGACAUCCUCUGACCCCUCUAGAGAUAGAGUUUUCCCCUUCGGGGGACAGAGUGACAGGUGGUGCAUGGUUGUCGUCAGCUCGUGUCGUGAGAUGUUGGGUUAAGUCCCGCAACGAGCGCAACCCUAAGCUUAGUUGCCAUCAUUAAGUUGGGCCCUCUAAGUUGACUGCCGGGACAAACCGAAGAAGGUGGGAUNACGUCAAANNUCCUGCCCCUUUGAUUGGGNACCACGGGCUCAAUGANAAAACAAGGGAGCGANCCGCAAGUCAGCAAUCCAAAAGUGUUNCAUUUCGAAUGG